rnacentral:rRNA from 1 species
UACAGAGGUCUCAAGCGUUGUUCGGAUUCAUUGGGCGUAAAGGGUGCGUAGGCGGUGCGGAAAGUUGGGUGUGAAAUCCCUCGGCUCAACCGAGGAACUGCGCCCAAAACUACCGUACUUGAGGAAGAUAGAGGUGAGCGGAACUCACGGUGGAGCGGUGAAAUGCGUUGAUAUCGUGAGGAACACCCGUGGCGAAAGCGGCUCACUGGGUCUUUUCUGACGCUGAUGCACGAAAGCUAGGGGAGCAAACGGG